UAGCGAUGAGGGCGUGGUCUAAUAAAUUGGGGGCGUGGUCUGAUCAAUUGGGGGCGUGGCUUGGUAGGAUGUGGGCGUGGCUUAGCGGUAAGGGGGCGUGGCCUGGCGUGGCGCCGGCGGGAACUGGCGGCGUGGCCGCGGCAGCCCGCCCGCCCCCCGCCGGCACCGCCCGCCGCAGCGUGCCUCCUCGCCGGGUCCCACUAAAGACAACUUCUUUAUAAGCAGUAAUAGUUUGGAGAAUAUCUGAAGGUCAUUUCCUUUGACUCACUAUGGAAAUGAAGAAGCUGUUUUGCAUGUUGCAGAUGACUCUGCUGUUUGUCCCCUCUCUGCAAGGUUAUAACGUUUUCCUACCAGACUGGCAGCAAUCAAUGUCCCUGUCUUGCCUCUGCUUCUGCUCCUCCCUUGUGCAUAUUGCGCUGCGUAAAGCCUGUUUAUACUGGGUACCCCAGGAUGGAAAAGCAUGGUUAAAACUCCCGUGUCAACAUAUUUGGGACAGCAGAAUGGCAGCACGUACCUCCCACAUGGCAUUGAAGUCAGUGAGGUCCAAAAGGUUUUGAAAAGGAGGCCGGUAUCAUUUCUGGAACUGAUUUCCCCAUAGAUGAAGCACAGUAAAAUUGUGGUAAGGAUAUAUUUGUUUCAGAGACUUGAGUAUUUUACAGAAUGGCUUUGCUCCUGUAAACAGAAAUAGCCGUAUUUCUUAUCAAAAUGAAAUGUCAUGCCUUGAUAUAGUUCCUGUCACCUUCCUGUUAUGUUGGUUAACCUAGAAAUGAAAGCAGUUUUGUUAACUUUUUUGUUUGUUUGUUUUAACAAAUGUUUGUUGCCUUGUUGGGAUGGAAUUGCCUAUCCCUAUUAACAGCAGAAAAAAAUACAGGAAGAUUUUCCUUUUCUUGCAUGUACUGAUAAAAGGGAGCCAGCAUGCUGGGUAAGAGUGAAACUGAGUGGCAUUACUUUGGAUUGAGGAGAGGAUGUGUUAUGAAAAAAAAGAAGAGCUGCUGCUUUUUCUUUUAUCUUUUUUAUUUUUCAUAGUUCUGUAUGUCUUUAUGGCCACCAUGUUAAAUAACAGGGAAAAAUGCAAAACCCAACAAGUGUCUUCUCUUAAGCAGAAGUCUCAAGUUGAAUCAGUGAAGACACAUAUCUAAAAAUAGAAACAACUUCUUUAUUUCAGGGUUAUGAAAAGAUACGUGAGUAAAUGCUCUAAUUUCUAUAUAAACAGAAGUUUCUGGAUGACUCUAGGAAGUUGCUAACACAGUUUUUCUUCUGUAGCUUAUGAGAAGAACUCAACAGAUGAGAUUUCGGUGGAUCUUCCAGGCAAACACUUCUUUGCAUUUACAAGAAAAUAAAUCAUUUAAGCCGUAUAUUGAAAUGUCA
rnacentral:lncRNA from 1 species